GACGAACCGUGCGAACGUUGUUCGGAUUCACUGGGCUUAAAGGGCGCGUAGGCGGAAGGUCAAGUCCGAGGUGAAAUCUUUCGGCUCAACCGGAAAAGUGCCUUGGAUACGGAUCUUCUCGAGGGAGGUAGGGGCAUGUGGAACUUCCGGUGGAGCGGUGAAAUGCGUAGAGAUGUGGAGGAACACCUGUGGCGAAGGCGCCUUGCUGGCCGAUUUCUGACGCUGAGGCGCGAAAGCGUGGGGAGCAAACAGGG
rnacentral:rRNA from 1 species